ACUGUCUACUUGCCCAACUUGAGACAGCAUCCUAACAUGAGACAUGUCGGGAUUUUUUUUUUUUUCAUCCGUGGUAGCCCUGUUGAGUGAUUUGUAAACAAAAGUGGCGUGCUAACCUCAAAGGGCAACAUCUGAAGAAGCCGUGCUGCAGAAGGCGAGUCUUAAACUCGAAAACUUCCAAUAUGGCACGUUAUCAACAAAAGCAGCCUACAAAUCACAAUCCAAGACAAUCUAACGGUAAACGCUCACAUCUAUCACCAAGGGGCAGGCAAGAAAAAAGGUUGCGUCGAUUGGCCGGCAGCCGUAAAUAUAAGGAUUACAGUGAUGAUAUUAUGAGAAGUGCUGUAAGGGCAGUUCGGAAAGGCUCAUCAGUUCGUGAAGCUUAGUUCUUCAAAGACUUAGGCUAUUUUCAAUUUGUUCAUUCGUUUUAAGUACGAUUUCAAUUAUUUUUGUUUUCAAAAAUUUCUCUGUUGCGUGAGUAUUAAAUGCUCUAAAAGCAA